rnacentral:lncRNA from 1 species
AUGCAGAGAAAGGAGUCGUUUGACGGCAGAGAGGUGAAUGAUAUACUACACAAACAUGGAUACGUCCCUGAGGUCCACCAUCAGAACCCUGUUCCAGUCAGGGGGGUGCAGGUCACAAGGAGGGGUGGCAGCUGCCAGAGGCGGCCUGUAACUGGCCUGAGGAGGCCCCUCUUGCUCCAGGCUGCAGUGUGGAGCCGCUGCAGGUCUUUGAUGGGCUCCACAGAUCCCUCUCUCUCUCUCUCCCUGAUUGCCCCCCUGUUUAUUAUGUCACAGUAUAACAGUGCUGUCAAUCAAGAGAUCUAUGAGAUCACUUCCUCUAAAUCAGGUAGAUUGACUCCUUAAGAGUUAUUGGAGGCCUCACUUCCAUUAGCCAAUCACAACUGCAAAUGAACUCAUACUGUAUGUGCUUGGCUCAAUAAAGUUCAAGAUGAU